AUCUAUCUGACGAGUACAACAUGGGACGAAACGCGCGUUCUGGAU
rnacentral:hammerhead_ribozyme from 1 species